GCUGAAACUCAGCUCGCUGGUCCGCCACCAGGCUUCUUUACCUUCAGCAAGUUUGCAGCCGUGAGUGAAAACCAGACUUCUCUACUUAAUUACUGAUUCCAAAGAUUAAAUUGUUAAAGUCUACAGCACAGCUAAAGAGGGAGCAGCCACCUUACCUCCAUGUUUGGACAAGCAUGAAGAUAAGAACUUCCCUGUGUGCGUGAUGGAAAAAAAUGAUAGAAGGGGCCAAAUUCCCAUCACUAAUACUUGUUGAUAUGUGAGGAAAAAUAAAAUGCUAUUACAAAGUUA
rnacentral:lncRNA from 1 species